ensembl:lncRNA
GCUAAAAUUGCCCACUUUAUGACCUCUUUGGUCCAUGUAGGCUAUAUUUAUGGUUGCUUUCAGUAGUUCUCUGAUUGAAAGCAAGGAUCGUUCAUGUUUAUAAUAUUUAUAUGAACAACAAAGCACACAGACACUCACAUGAUGUCCAUUUUAUUAUCAAUUUAAAUGACGCAUAAAAUUACAAUUUAAAAGAGUAACUAUGAGGAACGGCACAUACUGUAAUGCAGAUCUCUGCUUUAAAGGUUUGAGCUUUGAUAUAUUUCCAAUACAGAAUGAUAAAAGACCACAUGACGAGUUGUUUGGAUUAUUAUAAUGUUUAGUAUUUUGUUUACUUCAGAAGCGAUUAUCCUUAAAAGUUAGUCGAUAGUUGAGUUUUCUUUCAGGUGCAGGAUUCAUAUAAAAGCAGAGGUCUGUAGAAUGUCCUCGUUUAGGCAGCGAGGCGUGUGUGUGUGUGUGUGUGUGCGUGCGUGCGUGUGAUCGCUGGGUGGAGCAGCAGUGUAAGGCAGGUCUCGUCUCUCAUUGCGGCGGCUGGAGAUCCAUCGAGCGGCGGCGGAACGUCGCUCCGGCGUCCGUGUGCGUGAAGAGCAGGUGGAGGAGGAUGAUGAUGAUGAUGAUGGAGGAAUCCGACAGCAUCCCCUGCACCGCGGAGGACGGACUCCUGUCGAGCUGGAGAUGGAACAGAACCGCCAGGGAUCAGGUCCAGAUCAAGCAGAAGAUCCGAGAUCUGCCCGGAUUGUUAAAGCACGGACUCAACCUGCGCAAAAAGAGCAGUUCAGCUCCCAGAUCUCCAGCAGCAGCCCACAGCAAAUCAAUACAGUAAAUCUUACACACACGCCGUCUUCAGAGCCCAGUCAAAACAAAGCCAACAAGCGUACGCGUGGCCCCUGGAGAGGUUUGUCUACAGAGAGACAAGCAGUCGCUGAUACCUGCAGGUCACGCCGGCCCACAGAAAGCACAGAUACUAUCAUCACAGGUGCUCUCAGGAAUUUCAAACAGUAUUCAAGCCGAAUGGACUGAUGAAUCCAUUGCUAUUGUUUUGAGUUCUUAGAUGAAAAACAUGAUAAUGUUGGUUGUUAGCCAUUUGUAUCUUCCUGACUUGAGUGUUUGUGAAACCCAAAAUGUUAAUUUGUAGUUGCUCAGAUAUAGAAACUGCUGAUUUGAACAAACCUCAAAUGCUAAGUGUAGAACGUACUGAUAGUUCACCCAAAAAUGAAAAUUUGCUGUUCAUUGACUCACCCUUUAGGCCAUCCAAGAUGUAGGUGAGGUUUUUUUUACUUUAUUAGAACAGUAAAGAGAUUUUUAACUGAAACCAUGAUCCUUGAAAAUCUGUGAUUCAUAAAAUACAAGAAGUCAAUGGCUACCGGCACAUUGAGAGUCAAAAAAGCUUAUCAAGGAACAUGAAAUUAAUACCCAUGGUUCCUGACGAUAUAUUGUGGUCUUAUGAAGUGAAAUGAUCAGUCUGUGCAAGAAACUUACAUUUUUUUACACCAUUAUUACCUGCAAUCCAGAGCCUCAGGCAAACAGGGAAAUCUGAUUCUUUUCCUCAGACUGAUUCCUUCAGACAGUUCAUUUCAGUGAACUGGUUCAAUUCACUAGUUUGCUUGUGUAAUCAUGCAGUUAUGUAGCUAAUACGCAAUUAUAUUUUUUAAAGCACCCAAUAAUGAUGUGUCUGAAGUAUAAAGCAUUUAUGACAUUUAUGAGUGACUGUCAGGGAUCUGAAAGUGAGUUUUGAUUGAGUAACUUGUAGAUCUGUGCUGCUCGAGUCGUGAACUGUUUCAGACGCUUGAGUCCGAUUUGGUGAACUGGUUCAUCUAGAUCCCUGAAAAGAACUGAUUCAAAAGAAUGAUUCAUAUGUGAACCGGACAUCACUUUGAACCGUUCACCCGAGGCUCUGUAUUACAGGUAAUAAUGCUAUAAAUAAUGUUCAGUUUCUUGCACAAACUGAUCGUUUUGCUUCAUAAGACCACACUGUAAAAAAUGACCGUGAAAUUUACAGAAAAACUAUGUAAAAUCCAUACAGAAAAGUAUUGUAAACCCCAAAACAUAUUUUUUUUGUUUAAUUCACAGUGGAAUUUUGUAAACUAUUAAACAUAAUAUUUUGUUAUAUUUACAAUAACAAUAUGUGAUUGUAAUCAAAAUUAUUUGUUAAAAUUACAAAUUAUUGGUAUCAAAAACAGAGAAAUACUGUAAUACUCAUAACAAAACAAUUUUGUUAAUUUGACAUGCAAAUAUUGUAAAAACUAAAGUUUUAGUCUGUUGUUUUUAAAAAUACAAAUAAAGUAUG